UCCGUGGUGACGCGGAAUCUGAAGGAAGCUGGAGGCAAAACACCGGUCCGAGGAACACGAACCUCAUAUAAGGCUAGGUAUGAUUGAGUGAGUUUGCAUAACAAAACAAAGCUCUUUCUGUCGAAGGUCAUAUCGAGUAAAUGAGGCGGAUAGAUGGUGUGAAAGUGCAUGUA
rfam:Bacillus smithii strain DSM 4216, complete genome.